GGACUACCGGGGUAUCUAAUCCCGUUUGCUCCCCUGGCUUUCGCGCCUCAGCGUCAGAAGAGAUCCAGCCCGUCGCUUUCGCCACCGGCGUUCCUUCGGAUAUCAACGCAUUUCACCGCUCCACCCGAAGUUCCACAGGCCCCUACCUCCCUCGAGACCGCCAGUUUCCAAGGCCCUUUUCCGGUUAAGCCGAAAGAUUUCACCCCGGACUUGGCAGUCCGCCUACGCGCCCUUUAAGCCCAGUGAUUCCGAACAACGUUUGGACGGUUCGUCUUACCGCGGCUGCUGGCAC
rnacentral:rRNA from 3 species